UACAGAGACUGCAAGCGUUAUUCGGAUUCACUGGGCGUAAAGGGGGCGCAGGCGGUCGUGUGUGUCAGGUGUGAAAUCCCGGAGCUUAACUCCGGAACUGCGCCUGAAACUACAUGACUAGAGCAUUGGAGAGGGAAGUGGAAUUCAUGGUGUAGCAGUGAAAUGCGUAGAUAUCAUGAGGAACACCAGUGGCGAAGGCGACUACCUGGCCUGUUCUUGACGCUGAGGCGCGAAAGCUAGGGGAGCAAACGGG
rnacentral:rRNA from 1 species